UGGAGGGAAUUUAGGAGAGAAAAGGGGGAUUUGGGUAAGGCUUCAGUUGGUUGUUGUUGUGGAGAAAUUGAUGGAGGAAAUCAAGGCUAUAUGGGGGGAAAAGGAGAGUUGUGCCGUAUAGGGACUUUAGACACUCUUGAAUUCAAUUUUCAGGGGGUUUUUCUUUCGGAAUUGGGUUGGUUUGUGUGAGGGAACUUGUUUUUGGUCAUAUUUUUGUUACUUUUCUUUGUUUUUUGGUUUUUAGAGGCCGAAUAGGCUAUAGGCCCUUUUGGGUAUUAUUAUUUUCCUUUUGUUUGUUUUUUACUUGGCUGAAUAUUUUUGUUUAAUUCCCUUUUCUAAUCGAUUUUUCCCCUUCU
rnacentral:lncRNA from 1 species